rnacentral:rRNA from 1 species
GAGAAGGCUAUGUUGGCCGGGCGACGGUUGUCCCGGUUUAAGCGUGUAGGCUGGUUUUCCAGGCAAAUCCGGAAAAUCAAGGCUGAGGCGUGAUGACGAGGCACUACGGUGCUGAAGCAACAAAUGCCCUGCUUCCAGGAAAAGCCUCUAAGCAUCAGGUAACAUCAAAUCGUACCCCAAACCGACACAGGUGGUCAGGUAGAGAAUACCAAGGCGCUUGAGAGAACUCGGGUGAAGGAACUAGGCAAAAUGGUGCCGUAACUUCGGGAGAAGGCACGCUGAUAUGUAGGUGAGGUCCCUCGCGGAUGGAGCUGAAAUCAGUCGAAGAUACCAGCUGGCUGCAACUGUUUAUUAAAAACACAGCACUGUGCAAACACGAAAGUGGACGUAUACGGUGUGACGCCUGCCCGGUGCCGGAAGGUUAAUUGAUGGGGUUAGCGCAAGCGAAGCUCUUGAUCGAAGCCCCGGUAAACGGCGGCCGUAACUAUAACGGUCCUAAGGUAGCGAAAUUCCUUGUCGGGUAAGUUCCGACCUGCACGAAUGGCGUAAUGAUGGCCAGGCUGUCUCCACCCGAGACUCAGUGAAAUUGAACUCGCUGUGAAGAUGCAGUGUACCCGCGGCAAGACGGAAAGACCCCGUGAACCUUUACUAUAGCUUGACACUGAACAUUGAGCCUUGAUGUGUAGGAUAGGUGGGAGGCUUUGAAGUGUGGACGCCAGUCUGCAUGGAGCCGACCUUGAAAUACCACCCUUUAAUGUUUGAUGUUCUAACGUUGACCCGUAAUCCGGGUUGCGGACAGUGUCUGGUGGGUAGUUUGACUGGGGCGGUCUCCUCCUAAAGAGUAACGGAGGAGCACGAAGGUUGGCUAAUCCUGGUCGGACAUCAGGAGGUUAGUGCAAUGGCAUAAGCCAGCUUGACUGCGAGCGUGACGGCGCGAGCAGGUGCGAAAGCAGGUCAUAGUGAUCCGGUGGUUCUGAAUGGAAGGGCCAUCGCUCAACGGAUAAAAGGUACUCCGGGGAUAACAGGCUGAUACCGCCCAAGAGUUCAUAUCGACGGCGGUGUUUGGCACCUCGAUGUCGGCUCAUCACAUCCUGGGGCUGAAGUAGGUCCCAAGGGUAUGGCUGUUCGCCAUUUAAAGUGGUACGCGAGCUGGGUUUAGAACGUCGUGAGACAGUUCGGUCCCUAUCUGCCGUGGGCGCUGGAGAACUGAGGGGGGCUGCUCCUAGUACGAGAGGACCGGAGUGGACGCAUCACUGGUGUUCGGGUUGUCAUGCCAAUGGCACUGCCCGGUAGCUAAAUGCGGAAGAGAUAAGUGCUGAAAGCAUCUAAGCACGAAACUUGCCC